CACGAACCGUACGAACGUUAUUCGGAAUUACUGGGCUUAAAGGGUUUGUAGGCGGCCAUGUAAGUCAGGUGUGAAAUCCCUCGGCUCAACCGAGGAACGGCGCCUGAUACUGCAUGGCUUGAGGGAGACAGGGGUAAGCGGAACUGAUGGUGGAGCGGUGAAAUGCGUUGAUAUCAUCAGGAACACCGGUGGCGAAAGCGGCUUACUGGGUCUCUUCUGACGCUGAGGAACGAAAGCUAGGGUAGCGAACGGG
rnacentral:rRNA from 1 species